GGAGAGGUGCUAGAGUGGUCGAAUAGGACAGUCUCGAAAACUGUUGUACCUGCAAGGGUACCGAGGGUUCGAAUCCCUCCCUCUCCU
rnacentral:tRNA from 1 species